CUGGGUGGUCGCGUGCCGAGUUCCUUAGCGAUGCUGUGUUUGCCUUUACCUUCAGGUGGGGGGGCUUGCCACCCUGCAGGUCUAACGGUGUCCCCGCUGAUGUUUCAGGAGCUGCUGCAGAAGGAAGAAGAAGAAGCAGCGGCGUGGGGACCUGGGAGGCAGGAGCAAGCAAGAAGAGGAAGCGGAAGCGUGCAGAUCGGGGGGGAAGGAGAGAGGCUCCCUGGGCAAAGCACCUGUCCCGUUAGCAGGGGCACAGUCACGUUUGAGUGAGAGCUGCCGGCGCCUUUGGUGACCAGGCUGGCGUUGUGCUGGGCGACCUCCCCGUAAGCGGGGCUCGGGUCUUUGCUGUAGUUGGCCUUUUGCCUUGCUGCUCCUUUGGCUGCCUGGGGAGCGUGGCCCCCUGUAACGGAGGGCGAGAGCCACCUCUCCGCACCUGAGUGGGAAAUGGAGCUCGCCGGACCCCAAGGCCACCCUGUAAGCAGGGUAGUGCCGUUUCCCUGCCCCUCUUCCUCCCCCGGCCCCUCGGCAUCGUUGCCUGAUGGUGGCUUGUCAAUGCGACGGCCCCGUACUCGGGGUGUGUGUCCCAAGCUUUGGAGCCCUCUGUCCCUGAGCAGCCCGCCCGCCCUGUAAUCAGGUGUGGGGAGGCUGCAGCGUUGCAGCCGGCUGCUUUAGCCAUCCAGCUGGUGGGAGUGACCCCUCCCUGUCCCGUCAGAGGGUGCAGGUUGAGGUGCUGUUUGUGUGUGGGGUGACCUCCCCGCUCGGUGGGUCGAGGUAGCUCCCUGGGCUUCCAAAGACGAGACGUUGGUGAUGUUCUGCUGCUGCCGGGCGGGCCAGCCUGUAACUCAGGCGUUGGCGGGAGCCUCGUGCUCCGCGGGGCUUCUUGAAGAGGGUGAGUGUGGGGGUACCGUCCUGUAGGCAGGGCUGUGUGUGCCCCCCGUGUGUGCUUGGUGAGCUGCGUUCUGAGAGACCCCCUGUACUCAGGUGGGAAUGUGGCCCCGGCCUUUCAGAGGCGCGGGGCCGUGAGAUGCGGGGUGGGGCUUGCGCCCUCCCUGGAAUCGGGCUGGGAUCCCGACUGCGGCCUUUGGCCGUGCCGCCCCGCUGCCUGGCUGCUG
ensembl:lncRNA